rnacentral:rRNA from 1 species
CACGACUACAUUAGACUACCCGGUAGUCCUAGCCGUAAACGAUACUCGCUAGGUGUCGGCCACGGUGCGACCGUUGUCGGUGCCGUAGGGAAGCCGUGAAGCGAGCCACCUGGGAAGUACGGCCGCAAGGCUGAAACUUAAAGGAAUUGGCGGGGAGCACAACAACGGGUGGAGCUUGCGGUUUAAUUGGAUUCAACGCCGGAAAUCUUACCGGGACCGACAGCAACAUGAAGGCCAAGCUGAAGACUUUGCCGGAUUAGCUG